CAGUGGGGUGCAAACGUUGCUCGGAAUUAUUGGGCGUAAAGCGCGCGUAGGCGGUUAUCUAAGUCGGAUGUGAAGCCCUCGGCUAACUGAGGAAGUGCACCCGAAACUGGAUAGCUAGAGUACGAAAGAGGGUCGCGGAAUUCCCGGUGUAGAGGUGAAAUUCGUAGAUAUCGGGAGGAACACCGGUGGCGAAGGCGGCGACCUGGGUCGAGACUGACGCUGAGGCGCGAAAGCGUGGGGAGCAAACAGGAUUAGAUACCCUGGUAGUCCACGCCGUAAACGAUGGGUGCUAGAUGUUUCUGGUAUUGACCCCGGAGGCGUCGUAGCUAACGCGUUAAGCACCCCGCCUGGGGAGUACGGCCGCAAGGCUA
rnacentral:rRNA from 1 species